GUGAGGAAUAUUGGGCAAUGGGCGCAAGCCUGACCCAGCAACGCCGCGUGAAGGAAGACGGUCUUCGGAUUGUAAACUUCUUUUGUCAGGGACGAAUAAUGACGGUACCUGGCGAAUAAGCCACGGCUAACUACGUGCCAGCAGCCGCGGUAAUACGUAGGUGGCAAGCGUUGUCCGGAUUUACUGGGUGUAAAGGGCGAGUAGGCGGAUUUGCAAGUCAGGUGUGAAAGCCCGGGGCUUAACCCCGGGUCUGCAUUUGAAACUGCGGAUCUUGAGUAUCGGAGAGGCAGGCGGAAUUCCCGGUGUAGCGGUGGAAUGAGUAGAUAUCGGGAGGAACACCAGUGGCGAAGGCGGCCUGCUGGACGACAACUGACGCUGAGGAGCGAAAGCGUGGGGAGCAAACAGGAUUAGAUACCCCUGUAGUCC
rnacentral:rRNA from 1 species